GACGAACGCUGGCGGCGUGCUUAACACAUGCAAGUCGAACGGAAAGGCACUGCUUUUGUGGGGUGCUCGAGUGGCGAACGGGUGAGUAACACGUGAGUAACCUGCCCUUGACUUUGGGAUAACUUCAGGAAACUGGGGCUAAUACCGGAUAGGAGCUCCUGCUGCAUGGUGGGGGUUGGAAAGUUUCGGCGGUUGGGGAUGGACUCGCGGCUUAUCAGCUUGUUGGUGGGGUAGUGGCUUACCAAGGCUUUGACGGGUAGCCGGCCUGAGAGGGUGACCGGCCACAUUGGGACUGAGAUACGGCCCAGACUCCUACGGGAGGCAGCAGUGGGGAAUAUUGCACAAUGGGCGGAAGCCUGAUGCAGCAACGCCGCGUGCGGGAUGACGGCCUUCGGGUUGUAAACCGCUUUCGCCUGUGACGAAGCGUGAGUGACGGUAAUGGGUAAAGAAGCACCGGCUAACUACGUG
rnacentral:rRNA from 1 species